rnacentral:tRNA from 1 species
GGGGAUGUAACUCACUGGUACAGCACCUGCCUGGUAAGUGUGAGGCCCUGAGUUCAAUUCCUAGUACCCCCA